rnacentral:rRNA from 1 species
UAGGGAAUCUUCUGCAAUGGACGAAAGUCUGACCGAGCAACGCCGCGUGAGUGAAGAAGGUUUUCGGAUCGUAAAACUCUGUUGUUAGAGAAGAACAAGGACGUUAGUAACUGAACGUCCCCUGACGGUAUCUAACCAGAAAGCCACGGCUAACUACGUGCCAGCAGCCGCGGUAAUACGUAGGUGGCAAGCGUUGUCCGGAUUUAUUGGGCGUAAAGCGAGCGCAGGCGGUUUCUUAAGUCUGAUGUGAAAGCCCCCGGCUCAACCGGGGAGGGUCAUUGGAAACAGGGAGACUUGAGGGCAGAAGAGGAGAGUGGAAUUCCAUGUGUAGCGGUGAAAUGCGUAGAUAUAUGGAGGAACACCAGUGGCGAAGGCGGCUCUCUGGUCUGUAACUGACGCUGAGGCUCGAAAGCGUGGGGAGCAAACAGG